rnacentral:rRNA from 1 species
GACGAACGCUGGCGGCGUGCUUAACACAUGCAAGUCGAACGGAAAGGCCCUGCUUUUGUGGGGUGCUCGAGUGGCGAACGGGUGAGUAACACGUGAGUAACCUGCCCUUGACUUUGGGAUAACUUCAGGAAACUGGGGCUAAUACCGGAUAGGAGCUCCUGCUCCAUGGUGGGGGUUGGAAAGUUUCGGCGGUUGGGGAUGUACUCGCGGCUUAUCAGCUUGUUGGUGGGGUAGUGGCUUACCAAGGCUUUGACGGGUAGCCGGCCUGAGAGGGUGACCGGCCACAUUGGGACUGAGAUACGGCCCAGACGGGUACGGGGGGCAGAAGUGGGGAAUAUUGCACAAUGGGCGGAAGCCUGAUGCAGCAACGCCGCGUGCGGGAUGACGGCCUUCGGGUUGUAAACCGCUUUCGCCUGUGACGAAGCGUGAGUGACGGUAAUGGGUAAAGAAGCACCGGCUAACUACGUG